rnacentral:misc_RNA from 1 species
GAUGAAGAACGUAGCGAAAUGCGAUACGUAAUGUGAAUUGCAGAAUUCAGUGAAUCAUCCAGUCUUUGAACGCACAUUGCGCCCUCUGGUAUUCCGGAGGGCAUGCCUGUCCGAGCGUCAUUGCUGCCCUCAAGCACGGCUUGUGUGUUGGGCCCCGCCCCCCGAUCCCGGGGGGCGGGCCCGAAAGGCAGCGGCGGCACCGCGUCCGGUCCUCGAGCGUAUGGGGCUUUGUCACCCGCUCUGUAGGCCCGGCCGGCGCCUGCCGAUCAACCAAACUUUUUUCCAGGUUGACCUCGGAUCAGGUAGGGAUACCCGCUGAACUUAAGCAUAUCAAUAAGCGGAGGA